rnacentral:rRNA from 1 species
AGAUACAUUCAGGCCUUUGCAUCAUUAAUGGUGUGAAGAGAAAAGAUAUCCAAAGUGAAAGUGGGUAUCAUGACAAUUGUAGAAUAGAAAUAUUUAACAAGUAAUCGAUGAGAAUAUCUGA